ACUUCCUCACUUCCUCCCUCAACUGUCUGCGACUCCGCUUCUCUGGCUCUCUCCCUCACAAAGUCACAAUCGGGCAAAAGGGAAGCUCAAAAAGGCUGAGAAGGCUUUAGCAAAAGUGCAGGAAAAGUUGGACCCAGCAGAUCUGCCGGAUGAUCUGGAAAUCCUAACGGAUGAGGACAGGUUCUUGUUUCGUAAGAUUGGUCUCAAUAUGAAACCCUUCCUACUUUUAGGGAGGCGAGAGGUUUACUCUGGUACCAUAGAGAGUUGGUGAAGAUAAUAGUGAGAGGAAAAAGUUUUCAGCAAGUCAAGCAUAUAGCAAUCUCCUUGGAAGCGGAGAGUGCCAGAGUGGUGGGCUGCUAGUAUCUCUAGAUAAAACUACCAAAGGUUCUGAUCUGGAUGUUCUUAUAAUAGGAGGAUGCUAUCAUUGCUAUGGUUCAGGACGUCGUGGAGGGGAAGUAGCUCAAUUCUUGGUAGGUCUUGCUGAACGUCCAGUUGCUGAACCGAAAACCCGAAAAACGGGCCGGUUUUGUCCCGGUCCGGGUUUAUCUCGGUCCCUGUUAUCUGCAACUACGGUCCCGGCCCGAAGCUUGACUGUCGGUCCCGGUCCCGGUCCCGGUCCCUAUAAAACUAGUGCCGGUCCGGGUUUAGCCCGGUCCCAGUGUUCCUCAAUUGCAAGACCGGCCCGAAUUGACAUUGCCGGUCCCGGUCCCGGUCCCUGUAAAACCGGUGCCGGUCUGGGACCGUGCCCAGCCC